GGAAACAGUUGCGGGCUGGGUUUUGUGUUUUCUUGUUUCGCCGUUGCUGGUCACCGCGUCGCAGCCAAAAGGGUUGCCCUUGGGCCGUUGCCUCGUGCCAUCAUGCCGUGGAUAAAGUGUUUAGUACGGGCGACGGGCGAGACAAAAUAGAGGCCCUUUUUUCAUUCGUUCGUUCGUACGUUCGUGCGCUACUACAUACAUCAAGGCCAUACCAUUUCGUGUGCAAUGCCUUAGGAACUGCAUAGACGAGCAGGUGCAAAUCCUCCCACCAAAGCACAAAUGGGUGGAAAAGGUGUGCUGUUUUCUAUGCAUCCUGAAUCUCUUUUUUCCACGAAAAUGCUGCUCGUUUAUUUUUAACGUAGAAGUAGAAGAAAGAAAAAAAGAGAACAACAGACUACAACAUCCCGUUUUCCCGCUGUUCCUACCUUCCAGUGGGUCGUCGCUGGGCGCAAAGAACGGCUCGUCGGUGAGCAGCAGAUUGGCCAGCGUUUGCCUCUCCUGCUGAUGCUCAUCGUUAUCCUGCAGGUGGUACGCCGACCGGUCAUCCUGUUGCUGACCGGAAGCAGCAGCAGCAGCAGCAGUGGCAACUGAACCGUGAAGUUGCCGCUGGCAGUCACCGGCAAAGGGCGAGCUGAACGAGCGCCGAACGACGGUCGUUUUCGAGCCGAUGGCGGCAUCCCCAUUCUCGGAAUGCUGCCGACCGGUCACCGAUACUGGCCAGCGGGGCAUCACUUCGAAGGGUCCGAGCAGAGUGGCGGGUGGCAGCGUUGGGUACGCCAGAGCGCCUGGUGCGUGUUGGGCGGGAGACGUACUCUCGGAUGCGCUCGGAGAUCGAAUCGAUUUUGGGAGCGACCCACACUACAACAACAGCCACACAAACACCACAACCACACUGAUUCACGGGAAUUCGUUAUCUAACCGGCCUGAAGGGGGCGUUAGAUAACAGACCAAUACUCUAUUAUCACACAGCGUUACAGAAUGAGGUGGCAAUUCGAUAGAGAGAAAGAGUGUAAGAGAAUUAAACACGAAGAGAGAGAGAGAGAGAGAGAGAGAGAGAGAGAGUAGUAAACUGCCAAAAGCAUGUGCUAUUUGUGUGUCACUCGCGGGCUCGUUCUCUUCGUAGGAACGGGGAUUUCAGAAUUGGGUCGUACAAACCGGGGCCACACAAGUCACACAAAAAACCGAGCAAACGCAAAGCAGCAGAAACGGUGUGUACGGAAAACGGUACGGAACUAGUAUUUCCAGGCCGUUCCAAAGAACCACUAUAGCAAGAAACCGUCCGGUCUGGUGUCUGGUCACUGUUAAUGGGUGUAUAGUUCCUGUGCGACUAUCGGAGCGACACGAGCUGCCACAAGCGACGAGCGGCACCAGUCGGGUUGACAGCUGUUUCAGAGAUCGUAGAUCUAUGCGAGCGCGACGAAGGGCGACGCAGUGAGACAAAUUGGUGGGAAGGGGGGAGUGCAGAGCGGCUAACGUUCAUAGAGCACGCGAUCGCUCUGCAAAGCUGCAAACGAUUGCGCGAUACGCGGUGUGGGGAAAAGCAAAGACGUGCGACAUCGCUAAUCAUACGCAGGCGGCAGCCAGCGAGUGCGCGGCCAUCUUCAGUGUGGAAGCCCUCCCCCUCCCCUCUCCCACCGGUGUGUGUGUGUGUGUGUUUGUAAGGGUAGCUAGUAACAGGGGGGGUUGAGCCACACAACUAUGAUAAAGAUGGGACCAGCGCACGACAUACCAGUCACCUGACGGUACACCGGGGCGGCCGUUGUUUUUGGUUUGGCCGCGUGUUCGCCCGUGCGUUUGUUUGUGUUUGUGUGUGUGUUUCUAAAAACACAAACACAUCCGACCACCACCGACCGCAUGUGCAGUGUCAAUGUUGCGGUUGUGCCAAUGUGAGGUGCUCUCCAUAUCGCGCGCGCUGGAAAGUUGGCCACUGGCAUACUACCCACACACACAUACACACACUAGCCGUUUAUCUUUCGCGACCGGUACCAAUUGUGUUGUGUGUGUGUGUGUGUGUGUGGUGGAGCUGUGAUGUGUAUUGGUUCUGUGCGUCUUACUACCUUGGUGGGGCCGGAUAGCCCUUGCUUACUGGGGUGGAAAGUGCGGUGUUGAGACAAAACAAGCCAUGCAAAAACCGCGCCUGUCAACGAUGAUCCGACGAUACUCGUGCCUUUCAGUGUGUCAGUUGUCCACUAACGUCGGACACAAUAGCAACAAAGAGAGUAAGACAGAGAGAAGCAGAGGGAGUUCGGCAAAUGGGUCAAGAUCAGCGCUCGCGCUUCCGCCGUUCCGCGGUGCUUGACAGAUAAUAAUCGAUCAAGUACGAUCAAAAUAUCAUUAGCCACCUCCCAUGGGGGUCGGCUUUUGCGUGGGAAGGCCGGGAAAUGAAGGCUUUAUGGGGUCAUUUCCUCCCAAUUUUGGAAGUCAAAUUUUACGCCACGUGGUUUUUAUGCGUUCGGUGCGUACUGCAAUUACGAUCGGAUUGGAACCUCAACCAAAAUUGUUUCGGUUGUAGCAUAUCUGCUAAACAGAACUUGUUAUAAACCACACUAUCAGCUAUAGACACAUUGUAACGUACUUACUACAUGGUCAGAAUCAGCUUUCAAAAGAAUAGUUUACAUUAAAAUGUUUUUAAAUCGGUCAUUGCUGCUAAAUUUUGAAUGUAACUAAUACAUGCAAUUUUUGACAACAUGCCCCAAUUUGUGUCAAAUUCAUAAAAUUUGCACUGUAUGUCAAUUAUUCUGUUUAUAAUUCUAAAAUAAUUCAAUUUAAGUUAAGUAAUCAAACGUUUCAUUUCUUAAUUUAAAAUAUAACAAUUGAAAAGACAAUUUUUGAAGUUGUUCAUGAAGUUGGCAUGUAUUUUUAGAUGUAACCAAUCUGUUGAGGAUUUAUUAAAUUAGCUUAUUUCACACCAAAUAAAAAAAGAAACAGCCAAUGUACAUGGUUUUUGUAAUGUUUUUGUAAUUUAAAGUUACAGUUCUCAUAUAUUUGCUCUAUACUUAGCGAAUUUAGCGGUUUCGGACACUCCUGAGACAGGCCAAGACCGCAAAGCGGUUGUAGCGCCGGAUAAGUAAGUAAGUAAGUAAGUACUUAGCGAAUUUAUCAUGAUUUCUACAGGGAUCAUAACUUGUUGAUUUACAGACAAACAUAGUUGUGUUAGAGUCAAAAAUAGUUGUUUCAAAAAUCAAAACUUGAUGCCUUAGAGCCAAUAUUUAGCGACAACAACUGUGAGAAUAAUAACUCUUUCCACCAUACUGUUCCAUGGUCGUGUUUGGUUGCUGGGCAUAUGCAUACGCGCUUCACAGCCAGGUGCUAAUUUGGUGUGGUGUAAGAGUGACCUUACACUCUUUAUGGCGCCUGAAACCCCCCUAUUCCCGUAAGUGGGUGAUGCUCUAGUUUGAAUGAAAGGCGCUUGCAACAAUUGUUUGAUUAAGUAAGGAAGAAAAUAAGCACAAAACAUAAUUGAAACGCUCAUUUCAACAUCACUUUUCGCAAAACAAGUAUGAACUUUGGCUUCAUUCUUUAACGCUUCAAACGAUGGCACGGUGCCAAAAAUUAACUUCAGCUUUUCUUUAUCCAGAAUUAUACCAACCUGCAAAAGAAUGACACACCGACUACACACCGGCUCUUCAUCCAGCUACCUGACAGCUGUCACCAUACGGAGG